AGUCGAGCGGUAAGGCCUUUCGGGGUACACGAGCGGCGAACGGGUGAGUAACACGUGGGUGAUCUGCCCUGCACUCUGGGAUAAGCUUGGGAAACUGGGUCUAAUACCGGAUAUGACCGCAUGCCGCAUGGUGUGUGGUGGAAAGAUUUAUCGGUGCAGGAUGGGCCCGCGGCCUAUCAGCUUGUUGGUGGGGUAAUGGCCUACCAAGGCGACGACGGGUAGCCGACCUGAGAGGGUGACCGGCCACACUGGGACUGAGACACGGCCCAGACUCCUACGGGAGGCAGCAGUGGGGAAUAUUGCACAAUGGGCGGAAGCCUGAUGCAGCGACGCCGCGUGAGGGAUGAAGGCCUUCGGGUUGUAAACCUCUUUCAGCAGGGACGAAGCGUGAGUGACGGUACCUGCAGAAGAAGCACCGGCUAACUACGUGCCAGCAGCCGCGGUAAUACGUAGGGUGCGAGCGUUGUCCGGAAUUACUGGGCGUAAAGAGUUCGUAGGCGGUUUGUCGCGUCGUUUGUGAAAACCCGGGGCUCAACUUCGGGCUUGCAGGCGAUACGGGCAGACUUGAGUGUUUCAGGGGAGACUGGAAUUCCUGGUGUAGCGGUGAAAUGCGCAGAUAUCAGGAGGAACACCGGUGGCGAAGGCGGGUCUCUGGGAAACAACUGACGCUGAGGAACGAAAGCGUGGGUAGCAAACAGGAUUAGAUACCCUGGUAGUCCACGCCGUAACGGUGGGCGCUAGGUGUGGGUUCCUUCCACGGGAUCUGUGCCGUAGCUACGCA
rnacentral:rRNA from 1 species